rnacentral:rRNA from 1 species
GGGUUGUGAGGUUAAGCGACUAAGCGUACACGGUGGAUGCCCUGGCAGUCAGAGGCGAUGAAGGACGUGCUAAUCUGCGAUAAGCGUCGGUAAGGUGAUAUGAACCGUUAUAACCGGCGAUUUCCGAAUGGGGAAACCCAGUGUGAUUCGUCACACUAUCAUUAACUGAAUUCAUAGGUUAAUGAGGCGAACCGGGGGAACUGAAACAUCUAAGUACCCCGAGGAAAAGAAAUCAACCGAGAUUCCCCCAGUAGCGGCGAGCGAACGGGGAGGAGCCCAGAGCCUGAAUCAGUGUGUGUGUUAGUGGAAGCGUCUGGAAAGGCGCGCGAUACAGGGUGACAGCCCCGUACACAAAAAUGCACAUGCUGUGAGCUCGAUGAGUAGGGCGGGACACGUGGUAUCCUGUCUGAAUAUGGGGGACCAUCCUCCAAGGCUAAAUACUCCUGACUGACCGAUAGUGAACCAGUACCGUGAGGGAAAGGCGAAAAGAACCCCGGCGAGGGGAGUGAAAAAGAACCUGAAACCGUGUACGUACAAGCAGUGGGAGCCUCUUAAUGGGGUGACUGCGUACCUUUUGUAUAAUGGGUCAGCGACUUAUAUUCUGUAGCAAGGUUAACCGAAUAGGGGAGCCGAAGGGAAACCGAGUCUUAACUGGGCGUUAAGUUGCAGGGUAUAGACCCGAAACCCGGUGAUCUAGCCAUGGGCAGGUUGAAGGUUGGGUAACACUAACUGGAGGACCGAACCGACUAAUGUUGAAAAAUUAGCGGAUGACUUGUGGCUGGGGGUGAAAGGCCAAUCAAACCGGGAGAUAGCUGGUUCUCCCCGAAAGCUAUUUAGGUAGCGCCUCGUGAAUUCAUCUCCGGGGGUAGAGCACUGUUUCGGCAAGGGGGUCAUCCCGACUUACCAACCCGAUGCAAACUGCGAAUACCGGAGAAUGUUAUCACGGGAGACACACGGCGGGUGCUAACGUCCGUCGUGAAGAGGGAAACAACCCAGACCGCCAGCUAAGGUCCCAAAGUCAUGGUUAAGUGGGAAACGAUGUGGGAAGGCCCAGACAGCCAGGAUGUUGGCUUAGAAGCAGCCAUCAUUUAAAGAAAGCGUAAUAGCUCACUGGUCGAGUCGGCCUGCGCGGAAGAUGUAACGGGGCUAAACCAUGCACCGAAGCUGCGGCAGCGACGCUUAUGCGUUGUUGGGUAGGGGAGCGUUCUGUAAGCCUGCGAAGGUGUACUGUGAGGUAUGCUGGAGGUAUCAGAAGUGCGAAUGCUGACAUAAGUAACGAUAAAGCGGGUGAAAAGCCCGCUCGCCGGAAGACCAAGGGUUCCUGUCCAACGUUAAUCGGGGCAGGGUGAGUCGACCCCUAAGGCGAGGCCGAAAGGCGUAGUCGAUGGGAAACAGGUUAAUAUUCCUGUACUUGGUGUUACUGCGAAGGGGGGACGGAGAAGGCUAUGUUGGCCGGGCGACGGUUGUCCCGGUUUAAGCGUGUAGGCUGGUUUUCCAGGCAAAUCCGGAAAAUCAAGGCUGAGGCGUGAUGACGAGGCACUACGGUGCUGAAGUAACAAAUGCCCUGCUUCCAGGAAAAGCCUCUAAGCAUCAGGUAACAUCAAAUCGUACCCCAAACCGACACAGGUGGUCAGGUAGAGAAUACCAAGGCGCUUGAGAGAACUCGGGUGAAGGAACUAGGCAAAAUGGUGCCGUAACUUCGGGAGAAGGCACGCUGAUAUGUAGGUGAAGCGACUUGCUCGUGGAGCUGAAAUCAGUCGAAGAUACCAGCUGGCUGCAACUGUUUAUUAAAAACACAGCACUGUGCAAACACGAAAGUGGACGUAUACGGUGUGACGCCUGCCCGGUGCCGGAAGGUUAAUUGAUGGGGUUAGCGGUAACGCGAAGCUCUUGAUCGAAGCCCCGGUAAACGGCGGCCGUAACUAUAACGGUCCUAAGGUAGCGAAAUUCCUUGUCGGGUAAGUUCCGACCUGCACGAAUGGCGUAAUGAUGGCCAGGCUGUCUCCACCCGAGACUCAGUGAAAUUGAACUCGCUGUGAAGAUGCAGUGUACCCGCGGCAAGACGGAAAGACCCCGUGAACCUUUACUAUAGCUUGACACUGAACAUUGAGCCUUGAUGUGUAGGAUAGGUGGGAGGCUUUGAAGUGUGGACGCCAGUCUGCAUGGAGCCGACCUUGAAAUACCACCCUUUAAUGUUUGAUGUUCUAACGUUGGCCCCUAAUCGGGGUUGCGGACAGUGUCUGGUGGGUAGUUUGACUGGGGCGGUCUCCUCCUAAAGAGUAACGGAGGAGCACGAAGGUUGGCUAAUCCUGGUCGGACAUCAGGAGGUUAGUGCAAUGGCAUAAGCCAGCUUGACUGCGAGCGUGACGGCGCGAGCAGGUGCGAAAGCAGGUCAUAGUGAUCCGGUGGUUCUGAAUGGAAGGGCCAUCGCUCAACGGAUAAAAGGUACUCCGGGGAUAACAGGCUGAUACCGCCCAAGAGUUCAUAUCGACGGCGGUGUUUGGCACCUCGAUGUCGGCUCAUCACAUCCUGGGGCUGAAGUAGGUCCCAAGGGUAUGGCUGUUCGCCAUUUAAAGUGGUACGCGAGCUGGGUUUAGAACGUCGUGAGACAGUUCGGUCCCUAUCUGCCGUGGGCGCUGGAGAACUGAGGGGGGCUGCUCCUAGUACGAGAGGACCGGAGUGGACGCAUCACUGGUGUUCGGGUUGUCAUGCCAAUGGCACUGCCCGGUAGCUAAAUGCGGAAGAGAUAAGUGCUGAAAGCAUCUAAGCACGAAACUUGCCCCGAGAUGAGUUCUCCCUGACUCCUUGAGAGUCCUGAAGGAACGUUGAAGACGACGACGUUGAUAGGCCGGGUGUGUAAGCGCAGCGAUGCGUUGAGCUAACCGGUACUAAUGAACCGUGAGGCUUAACCUUACAACGCCGAAG